rnacentral:rRNA from 1 species
CAGCAGCCGCGGUAAUACGAAGGGGGCUAGCGUUGUUCGGAAUUAUUGGGCGUAAAGGGUGCGUAGGCGGUUUGAUAAGUCAUCUGUGAAAUCUCUGGGCUCAACCCAGAGUCUGCAGGCGAAACUGUCGGGCUUGAGUAUGGGAGAGGUGAGUGGAAUUUCCGGUGUAGCGGUGAAAUGCGUAGAUAUCGGAAGGAACACCUGUGGCGAAAGCGGCUCACUGGACCAUAACUGACGCUGAUGCACGAAAGCUAGGGGAGCAAACAGGAUUAGAUACCCGCGUAGUCCCUGUCUCUUAUAA